GCCAGUGUGGUGUAGUGGUUUGAGUGAUGGACUAUGACUCUGGAGUUCAGGGUUCAAUUCCUAGCUCAAGCU
rnacentral:tRNA from 1 species